AGGACUAAAAACUGAGUUAUCGAAAUUUCAAACCAACUCGCUCACGGUUGCUCUCGAUCGUUGUCAUCGCGUUUCCGAAAUUUCACACAAUCGUUCCUUAAACUCACUCUCAGUCUUGUAUAAUUUCUUGUAUCAUUCGAAAUUGACCUCAAUCGUUCGAAGUCGCAGUUCAUCGUUCUCGUUCCAAUUCAAUCAUAAUCGUUCAUCGUUCUCAAUUGAAAUUUGUUCGAAUUUGCAUGUUGGAAAGAUGAAUUUGAGGUAAUUCUGAAGCGAUUCAAUUUGUGUAUUGUUAUCUAAUGUUUUUGAUUGAUGGAAUGUAAAUGUGAAAGGGAUUCAAUUUGAGUGUUUGUUCAUUAUUUCAGGGUUUAAGUUUGGGGAUUCAAUUUCUUAUACUGAUUUUAGGGUUUAAGUUUGUAUCUAAUGUUUUUGAUUGAUGGAAUGGAAUGUAAAUGUGAAAGGGAUUCAAUUUGAGUGUUUGUUCAUUAUUUUAGGGUUUAAGUUUGGGGAUUCAAUUUCUUGUACUGAUUUUAGGGUUUAAGUUUGUAUCUAAUGUUUUUGAUUGAUGGAAUGGAAUGUAAAUGUGAAGGGAUUCAAUUUGAGUGUUUGUUCAUUAUUUUAGGGUUUAAGUUUGGGGAUUCAAUUUCUUGUACUGAUUUUAGGGUUGCUAGAAGUAAUUUUAGGGGAUUAAGUUGCUUGAUGCUUGCUUUGUCAAAAAAAUGACCUUACUGAUUGCUCUGGCAUGAAGGACGUAGGUAAACCAGAAUUUUGCUAUAAGCCUAACACUCUUUACAACUUCAAUAAGAGAGCUUGUAGUAACUCAUAGCCUCAAAUAUCUUUCAAGAUGCUCAGAACUUGUAAGAUUGAAGUGAAGCUGAUAUGCUGAGAACAAGUUCUUGAAUCAAAUCCAGUUUUGGAAGCAUUUGGAAAUGCUAAAACUGUCAGGAAUAACAAUUCCAGGCAAGUCUUCCUUGCAUAUGAUCAGUAAAUAAUCUAGUGUUUAUUUCUAUAUGAUAUUCUGAUAUUAAUUUUUUGUGAGUCUUUUUUACAUAUGGGCAAAAGUGAUUCAUUGUGUUUCAUUCUCCCUAAUAGUUCGAUAUAUAAAUUAAAUUUGUGUUUCAUUCUUACCUAUUUACUUUGCUCUGCUGUUUCUUUUGUCAGGAAGCAAUUUUCAGAGUUGUUGCUGCAAUUCUUCAUAUUGGUAAUAUUGACUUUGCCAAAGGAAAGGAAAUUGAUUCAUCAGUUCCAAAAGAUGAUAAAGCCAAAUUCCACUUGAAAACAAGCUCACAAAGUUCUGAGCAUAUCAGACAAGUUCUGAGCAUAAACAUAUCAGACAUAGAAUUGGCACACAUUGCCUGCAACUUCACAAAGUUGACUGAACUUGACCUCUAUCGUUGUGUACGUAUAGAAUAUGAUGGACUAGCAGCACUCACAACUGGACGCAACAAGUUGACCAUUCUCAACCUAUCAUAUGGCAAUAGAAUGACAGACACAGAGUGAAGUGUAUCAGCAAUUAAUGAUUCUGGUUUUUGGGCCCUUGCUUUUUAUGCACAAAACCUACUACAGGUCAGUGUAUCAACUUUACUCAAUUACUUCCUCUAAAGCAAAAGUAUAUGUCCAACCAUCAUCUAUUCAUCUAUUAGUUUAUUAUGGUUUCAUGAUUUACUUAUUAUGUCGUCAUAAUCUAGAAAAUGUCAUACUGACAUAUGUGCUCACUCUGUGAAAUGAUGGCUGCUAUUUGAUAUAACAAAGAAACUUCUUUGUGAAAUGAUGGCUAGGGGUCUAUCAUAAGAGUAAAACAAGGUGAGAUCCUUUCUAGUUACAAAUUAAGUUAUUUGAAUUUUCAUGACUACCACACUAUGUUUAUUUCCUUUUCAUGACUACCACACUAUUGCUAUUGAAAGAAUAGUAGUGAUUAAUUUAUCUUCUAUUUUUUCUAGUCUGGACGUAUUGCAGCAGCUACAGUCUGUUAAUAUCAGCCUUGUUAUCAUUUUGUAAGUCUGUUGAUAGAACCUGUACAUGUGCUCAUCCUGUAUUGUUUUACUUUUCCAACCCUUUUCUUAGACAUUUUAAUUGCAGCUCUAGGCUUCGUUGUCUGCAAUGUUUAAUUAUAUAUCAUGAUUGAAUGUACAAAUAAACUAGAAGUACUCGAGAAGUACAUAUAAAGAACAAUUUAACCUUUAUGUUUACUUAUAUAAAUGACUAUCUUAAAGUUGACAACUCUCUUUGCCUUUUUGACAGUGUAUUUUAAAGAUGUGUGUAAGAUAUAGCUUAAUUUCAAAAGAGCUGGUUGUAAAUUUCUGGAGUUGAGUUGAUUCUGGAUUUUUCUCUUUAUUACGUGACCAAUUUUGUUUUCUUGUUUCAAUAGAACUAGUGAGGAUUGUACUAAGCUGAACAUUUGAUUACAGAGUUGGUGUCCAAUUAUUUCAAGUGUUGCAUGGAAGACUCCAAUGAUUCCACUACCAAGAUGGGAGAGGGCCAAUAAAUCCUAAGGGAUUGCAAUAUUACAAUAACCUCAUCAAUGAACUAACAAGCCAAGGUUCUUUUACAAACUAGUUUUUACCUUAUAAAGUUCAAUUGGAGUUGUCGACUGGAGAUUGGGAUCUACCCCACAAGCACUUGAAGAUGAAUAUGGAGGAUGGGUUAGUCGAAGAAUUAUGUAUGGUUUGUAAACUAUAAGAUAUAGUUUGUUUAAUUUUAUCUUGUCUUAGAUAGGAGAUCAAAUUAAACAAUCUAUAUCUAACACAUUAGAAAAAAUUGUAGUUACCGUAUUUUGUGAGUAAUUUAUUUUCCCUAAAGUGUAUCUUUACUCUAUAUUUGUGAGUAAUUUGUUUUGAGAAUUUGGAUGUAACUAGUAUUUUCAAGAAUAUAGUUACUGUAUUAAAUUUAUAUGGAUCAAUUUUAUGUAUUUUAUUGAAUAA